rnacentral:rRNA from 1 species
GUCUACAGCUGUGCCACCCUGAACACGCCUGAUCUCAGAAGCUAAGCAGGGCCUGGUUAGUACUUGGAUGGGAGACCACCUAGGAAGACCAGGUGCAGUAGGCA